GAUCAUGGCUCAGGAUGAACGCUGGCGGCGUGCUUAACACAUGCAAGUCGAGCGAAGCAGUUUCAAUGAAGUUUUCGGAUGGAUUUGAAAUUGACUUAGCGCGGACGGGUGAGUAACGCGUGGGUAACCUGCCUUACACUGGGGGAUAACAGUUAGAAAUGACUGCUAAUACCGCAUAAGCGCACAGGGCCGCAUUGCCUGGUGUGAAAAACUCCGGUGGUGUAAGAUGGACCCGCGU
rnacentral:rRNA from 1 species